CAGGUCACAUGGCUCACAGGUCACAUGCGCAAUGCAGGAAGUGUUUUCUGUGAGAAGUGAUCAGAGGACUUGAUGGGAGUUGUAAGGAGGCAGGUAGGGAAGUUACAUGUCUGUGCUCUCCUACGUACCACUGACUUAUAGCAUUGGCUGGGGGCUGUUGCUCUCUAUUGUACACAUAUGACUUGCAUACAGUACAGGGUCUGUUACACACGUUACAAAGGGGAUAGAACCAUUGCAGACAUGUAGUGGGGAAGCUCCACUGCAUUGAAGUAUCCAACAUACCCAGUGUUAUUUUAUAUUCUGCAGCUCCCUGUAUUGUGUGUGUCCUGCUGUACGUUAGACAAAGAUGUUGGUCUGGCUCCCGGGAACAGUGUGGGAAUCGCUGGUCCCUGCUGUUUCUUGCCAGCCCCCCCCCCACAUGGGUGUCUGGGGUUGACCCAUAAGCCCUCAAAGAGCACAUGACCAACACCUACUACUCUGCAUUAUGCCUUAUUAUAUUAGUGAACCCUUGAAGUGCCCACAAUAGUGUUACUGGCAAUCAGCAGGCCUGGGUGCAGGAUGUUCACUGACCAACCUCUGUGCCCCUUCUAAAGAAUCUAAAGGACUCCCUAAAAAUCCCCCCCCCCUGCCUGGGGGCUGGCAGUGAUCUGCAUCAAUGAGCCCUGCUGAUUCUGAGUUACUAUGUAUAUUAAAUACAUUGUACAGUACAGACACUGUAUUCCAGUAAAUCACUUUUUUUACUUAUUUUGUUUCAGUAACAUGGAUUUAAAGUUUAUUUUUAAGAUAAUCAUUCCUUUACUCCUAUACUGAAAAAACAGCAAUGGACUUGGGCCAAGUGGUUGCAGAUAUGGAAGAAAACCAAAGGCAGAUAGCGAGGUUUUCUGAGAGAGAUGCAAAGGGGCUCCUGGGUUGGUACAUGGUUAAAAGUGGAUUAGAAGAGAAACCCGAAUCCUACAAUACUCCUCGUGUUAGUCAGUACCGCCUGACUGCACAUUUGGGUUCUGCAGUUGUUCUCUACUGUGCAAGUCUUUGGACUGGCUUAUCUCUUCUGCUUCCCAGACAUAAGGUGCCUUUGUGGCUGGACUCGAUGCUGGUCUUGUCUGCAAUUCUUUUCCCAAGAUCGGAGAUCGAUGGAUCCCAGACGACCUACUUACAUUCUCUCCAGCUUUUCAAACUUUUUUGAAUAUGCUACAACUGUUCAAUUUAAUCACAGAAUCCUUGGGAUUAGUUCCGUGGCUGCCAUCACUGGAUUGUACUAUUUUUCCAUUGACUUUCUCUCCCACAACGAGCUGAACUGGCAUUAAACUCCUUAAUUGCUGUGGCAUAUUUACAGGUAUAUAGUUCACAGUAUCAAUUCUUCAGUUGCAGUAAGCAGGGUAGUAGGGCCAGGGGCUUUCUGCCACGAGGCAAGGUGAAUACCUUGCCUCAGACGGCAGCUCCCCUGCAAAAAGCCGCUCCUGGUAACUUUUAAGAGCCGAAUUUCCGGUUAUUAAACCAGAAAUUCGGCUUUUCUAUCACAGAGAACGAUAUUUCGCACUCUGCGCUAGCAAUGUGCCCCUCACCGCACCUCCCAUCAGAGAUCUUAAGGUAAGCUUGGGGGCCGCAUUGCGAACGCCACCUCAGGCGGCGUUGAUGCCUGAAACGCACCUGAGUAGGGCCAACCUUCUUGAAACAAUUAAAGGGGUUGUUUACCUUUUAAAUUUUGAGAUUGGUAUGUUGAGACAAUUUGCCGUUGGUUUUUAUUUUUUAUUUAGCUUUUUAUUCAGCAGCUCUCCAGUUUAUAAUUUUAAUAAAUCGCAGUCACCUGUAACUAACUUUUAUACAUUACAAAAUACAAAUAUAUAUAAAUUAGACUAUUACAUGCACUCUCCUUUAGCUUGUCUUUAUUAUUUUCUAGCACAGAUCCAGUACUGCAUUGAGACUAUCUAUUGUUAUACACAAGUGAUGAUGUGUAUGUGCACAUAGGCAAAUAUAUGUAAGCAGAUCUUCAGAUGUUAUUUUCUGGAAUAUAUAGUUCCAACAAUCAGUGCAAAAAAAAUCAGAAGCAGCAUCUCUGACUGUAAACGAAAAGCUUUCCAGCAGGGCAUUCUUCUUUAUGUUUUGUAUAUUUUUUUGUAUGUCUUUAUAUUAAAAAAAUGGUAGAAAAGA